rnacentral:rRNA from 1 species
GACGAACGCUGGCGGCAUGCCUAAUACAUGCAAGUCGAGCGAACAGAUGAAGUGCUUGCACUUCUGACGUUAGCGGCGAACGGGUGAGUAACACGUAAGGAAUCUACCUAUAAGCGGGGGAUAACAUUCGGAAACGGGUGCUAAUACCGCAUAAUAUCUUCUUCCGCAUGGAAGAAGAUUGAAAGACGGCUCUGCUGUCACUUAUAGAUGACCUUGCGGUGCAUUAGUUAUUUGGUGGGGUAACGGCCUACCAAGACGAUGAUGCAUAGCCGACCUGAGAGGGUGAUCGGCCACAUUGGGACUGAGACACGGCCCAAACUCCUACGGGAGGCAGCAGUAGGGAAUCUUCCGCAAUGGGCGAAAGCCUGACGGAGCAAUGCCGCGUGAGUGAAGAAGGCCUUCGGGUCGUAAAACUCUGUUAUAAGAGAAGAACAAAUUGUAGAGUAACCGCUACAGUCUUGACGGUAUCUUAUCAGAAAGCCACGGCUAACUACGUGCCAGCCGCCGCAGUAA